rnacentral:rRNA from 1 species
CCUACGGGUGGCUGCAGUGAGGAAUAUUGGACAAUGGGCGCAAGCCUGAUCCAGCCAUGCCGCGUGAAUGAUGAAGGCCUUAGGGUUGUAAAGUUCUUUUAGCAGUGACGAUGAUGACGGUAACUGCAGAAAAAGCCCCGGCUAACUCCGUGCCAGCAGCCGCGGUAAUACGGAGGGGGCGAGCGUUGUUCGGAUUUACUGGGCGUAAAGCGUGCGUAGGUGGUUUCCCAAGUUAGAAGUGAAAGCCCAGGGCUUAACCCUGGAACUGCUUUUAA